rnacentral:misc_RNA from 1 species
GAAGAGUUCAACAUUUGCAGCCUAUUGACGAGCAAAUCUACUUGCUCUCGGUACAUCUCCUUUAGGUCCAUGAUGUCGGCUCUCAGUUCCUCCAACUCUUCAUCACGUUCCCCCAUCAGUUCUAGUGCAGAAGAAUGCCUCCGCCUCAAAGCUUCUAGCUCUGCUCGUAACCCAGGAACAUUGGCUGCUUCUGCUCUCAACUUUUCACACUCUGCUGUCAUCUUAACUAGUUCCUCUGCCAGAGAGUCACGAAU